rnacentral:rRNA from 1 species
AAUAGAUACCCCGGUAGUCCACGCCGUAAACGAUGAGUGCUAAGUGUUAGAGGGUUUCCGCCCUUUAGUGCUGCAGCUAACGCAUUAAGCACUCCGCCUGGGGAGUACGGUCGCAAGACUGAAACUCAAAGGAAUUGACGGGGGCCCGCACAAGCGGUGGGGCAUGUGGUUUAAUUCGAAGCAACGCGAAGAACCUUACCAGGUCUUGACAUCCCACUGACCGGUAUAGAGAUAUACCUUUCCCUUCGGGGACAAUGGUGACAGGUGGUGCAUGGUUGUCGUCAGCUCGUGUCGUGAGAUGUUGGGUUAAGUCCCGCAACGAGCGCAACCCUUGAUCUUAGUUGCCAGCAUUUAGUUGGGCACUCUAAGGUGACUGCCGGUGACAAACCGGAGGAAGGUGGGGAUGACGUCAAAUCAUCAUGCCCCUUAUGACCUGGGCUACACACGUGCUACAAUGGAUGGUACAAAGGGCUGCAAGACUGCGAAGUCAAGCCAAUCCCAUAAAAACCAUUCUCAGUUCGGAUUGCAGGCUG